CACGUAGGGCGCGAGCGUUGUCCGGAAUUAUUGGGCGUAAAGAGCUCGUAGGCGGCCUGUUGCGUCCGCUGUGAAAGCCCGGGGCUUAACCCCGGGUCGGCAGUGGAUACGGGCAGGCUAGAGGUAGGUAGGGGAGACUGGAAUUCCUGGUGUAGCGGUGAAAUGCGCAGAUAUCAGGAGGAACACCGGUGGCGAAGGCGGGUCUCUGGGCAGUAACUGACGCUGAGGAGCGAAAGCGUGGGGAGCGAACAGG
rnacentral:rRNA from 1 species